rfam:Drosophila mojavensis strain TSC#15081-1352.22 Ctg01_9480, whole genome shotgun sequence.
UGGCCAGCGUAUCGUUUUAGAAUUCCUACGCUUUACCGUCGUAUACGCAAUUUGGCAAAGCGUUUGGAUUCUGAAACAAUAUAUGG